rnacentral:tRNA from 1 species
ACCGAUAUAGCUCAGUUGGUAGAGCGUUAGACUAUAUGCAGAUCGAAGGUCCCUGGUUAGAUCCCGGGAUUCCGCA